UAAAACCAACGUUGAGUCUGGAAUU
rnacentral:piRNA from 1 species